GAAGAUCUGUGGGUCAAUAGUAGAGCAUCUGCUUUGAAUACAGAAGGUCCCAGAUUCAAUCCCAGGCAUCUCCA